AGUUCGAUAGCGCAAUUGUAGUGCGUCUCUUACACAUUGCAUCGCGUCCUCGUUGCCUUAUAUGGGUGGAGAGAAGGAUCUCGGUUCGACUCCGAGUCGAGCUA